rnacentral:rRNA from 1 species
AUUGAACGCUGGCGGCGUGCCUAACACAUGCAAGUCGAGCGGUAACAGGUGUAGCAAUACAUGCUGACGAGCGGCGGACGGGUGAGUAACGCUUGGGAAUCUGCCUGUUAGUGGGGGACAACCCGGGGAAACUCGGGCUAAUACCGCAUACGCACUACGGUGGAAAGCCGGGGACCGCAAGGCCUGGCGCUAACAGAUGAGCCCAAGUCGGAUUAGCUAGUUGGUAGGGUAACGGCCUACCAAGGCGACGAUCCGUAACUGGUCUGAGAGGACGACCAGUCACACCGGAACUGAGACACGGUCCGGACUCCUACGGGAGGCAGCAGUGGGGAAUAUUGGACAAUGGGGGAAACCCUGAUCCAGCGACGCCGCGUGGGUGAAGAAGGCCUGCGGGUUGUAAAGCCCUUUCAGUGGGGAAGAAAAGCCUCGAGCUAACACCUCGGGGUCUUGACGUAACCCAUAGAAGAAGCACCGGCUAACUCUGUGCCAGCAGCCGCGGUAAUACAGAGGGUGCGAGCGUU